CUCAAGUAUCAUAAAGAUCUAACCAUUUUUAUGUAAUGGACAAGCUAUUUUCUCUUGAAAUUUCCUGCAUUAGCAAGUAAAUGGGCUCCAAAUUAGUAACUACCAUGAUGCGCAUUCCAAUUAAAAUAGCACUCACAGCAAUCACUACAACCAGCCUGUUAAUAAUAGGGGCAUCAAUCCAGGAAAAAUGCACCUCACAAUGCUUUGAGCAUUUUCAUAUAUACUGCACAAAAUCCUUAUAUUAUUUUAACCUAUCUUCUACUAAUUUGGUGUAUUCACUAGAACUGCAGUAAUCAUCAGGACCAAGCCUUAAUGUAUGGGCUGAUAUUUGCCAAAGAACAAUAUAUUUCCUUGUAUCUAGUAAUUAUGUGUCUUUUCGAAUCAUAUGUGCAAGGCUAAUGAAGUCGAAGAGAAACAAAAGACAACGAAGGUAAGAUACCUCAGUCUAAAUCAGAUCUAGCAAAUAGAGAUAUCCUAGCAUGGGAUUAUUGUUAUUUUCAACAUAAAUCAUUUGAAGAAAUUCAAUCAAAACUAGUCAAACAACUUCUUUUCUUUACUCUUCUAACUUAUCCAAUCAGUUCUUUUCUUUUCUUUUCUUUUCUUUUCUUUACUAAAUUACCAAACAGAGUGCCAGUUUUCUAUGUAACCAAACAGAGAGAGAAAAGGCAAAAAUUUGCUACCCAUAAAGGAGGGAAGCUCCUCAAGCCUCAAAAGUCGAAAGAAAACCUUCAUGAGAGGGAAUGGAAUAUAUAUAUGUGUGUGUGUGUGUGUGUGCGCGUGUGUAUAUAUUGGGAUGCAUCAGCAACCACCUUAAGUACAACCAACAUUUCCCAAAUCUAAAAAACAAUUUUUAAAAAACAAAAACACCGAAAACAAAAAAAAUAAGAAAAAUACACAAAUAGAAAGCAAACCCAUAACCACAAAACACCAAAAAACCAAACCCAGAACCUAAAAUCAGAAAUUGAAGGGCACAUAUCAAACUGGUUAUGAACAAAUUGAGAAGAUUAAUUGAAGUAAGGAAGUAGAAAUAGGUAAAUUGAUGGAAACCCAUAACAGAAAAGAAGUGGAGCUCACAGAAGCAUAGUCGGGAUGGUUACCAAGCAGCAGUUUCAGCGGCCAAUUCAUCGAGUUGGCUGGUGGUGAUGCCCUUGAGCUUCUUGAAACGGGCAAUGAUCUUAUUGAAAUGUUUAGGAGGUCACAUCAGCAAGACAAUUGAAGGACACAAGGGCUACAUGGCUGCAGCCAUAUCCACAACAUGGGCAGUUGGCUAAAGCAUUACAAGUCAAGGUAGAGCUGCAGCCAAGGCCACAGCCAUGGCCACAGCUCAGAACAACAGAACAGUUGCAGCAGUUGCAGCCACAACUCAGUCCAACAGAGCAAUUGCAUCAGAUUGCAAAUACAUUCAAGUUCUUCUCUGAUUUUCUUUAAUUUUAACAUGAGGAGCAAGUGUAAAACAAUAGCCAACAAUCUUUUAAUUGAAUUGAAUGAAAUCACAAGCUUUAAUAACAUAUGGCUUUAACCAAUGAAACCAAAAAGGAAAAUAGUAAGUAAAA